rnacentral:tRNA from 1 species
AUGAAUACGAUGGAUUGGUCAAUUCUGCUAUUCGCAGUGUUUCUAUUUACUGGAAUCAAUGCCACCUCUGAAAAUACAGAUAGUGGUACAAUUCUAGGUUGUGACCCUAAGCAGAGCACAAACAACCAAGGGUUCGAUAUCACGUAUUAUGGUUACCCAAUGGUUGAUAGAAAUGGAAGAGGACAGUGUUUCACCUAUGAUACGUCUUAUAAAGAAUCCUGGUACCAACAGGGAGGAUAUCAGACGUAUGGAGGUGGUGAAAUUGGAAGCAGUCAUGGUGUUACCGACUUGACAUUCAGAUACGCUCCUCCUAGUGGUUGUUCGAGGCCAGUGAAAGGCACUUUACCUUCCAAUUUUAAUUAUGAUACUCCAAUUACUCUCACGAAUUUUUCAAUGUUAAUUACUGGUUAUUUUUAUGCUUCUAAAACCGGUCAAUAUCAAUUCAUUCUAAAUUAUAUUGAUGAUCUCUCUUUUCUUAACAUUGGUGCUGGUAGAGCUUUUGAUUGCUGUGAACAAAGGGCAUCUGUCGCUAACCCUGGCCCAUUCGAUCUUUCUGUUACUUGGCCUCAAACGGAUAACACUGCUACUGUUACUCUUUUAGGAGGAUACUAUUACCCAAUAAGAAUAUUUUUUGUGAACAGAUUAGGUCCAGCUGGCCUUACAGUGUCUUUCAAGGAUCCUGAUGGUGUUCUCCAUAGUACAUUCGACGGCUAUAUCUACAGUAUCCCAGAUGGUCAACCAUGUCCUGUUCCUGUCGUUACAACAACUUUACCAUGGACUGGUACAGUAACAACAACAUUCACUACUUUAACCACAAUUACAGGCCAAAACGGAGGUACUUCACCUGGAAACCUUGUUGUUGUUGAGACCCCCGAAGUUCAAACUGCUACCACCGUCUUCACUCCAUGGACCGGUACCACUACUGCAACCAUUGCCACUGAUUUGACUACUACCACUGGUGCCGAUGGUGUUCCAACUGUGAAGACCAUCUACCAUGUUGAGACUCCAGAAGUCCAGACUGCUACCACCGUCUUCACUCCAUGGACCGGUACCACUACUGCAACCAUUGCCACUGAUUUGACUACUACCACUGGUGCCGAUGGUGUUCCAACUGUGAAGACCAUCUACCACGUCGAGACUCCAGAAGUCCAGACUGCUACCACCGUCUUUACUCCAUGGACCGGUACCACUACUGCAACCAUUGGUACCGAUUUGACUACUACCACUGGUGCCGAUGGUGUUCCAACUGUGAAGACCAUCUACCACGUCGAGACUCCAGAAGUCCAGACUGCUACCACCGUCUUCACUCCAUGGACCGGUGUCAGUACCGUUACUAUUGCCACUGAUUUGACUACUACCACUGGUGCCGAUGGUGUUCCAACUGUGAAGACCAUCUACCACGUCGAGACUCCAGAAGUCCAGACUGCUACCACCGUCUUCACUCCAUGGACCGGUACCACUACUGCAACCAUUGGUACCGAUUUGACUACUACCACUGGUGCCGAUGGUGUUCCAACUGUGAAGACCAUCUACCACGUCGAGACUCCAGAAGUCCAGACUGCUACCACCGUCUUCACUCCAUGGACCGGUACUAUUACCUCGACUAUUGCCACUGAGUUGUCCACAACUACUGGUGCUGAUGGUGUUCCAACUGUGAAGACCAUUUACCACGUCGAGACCCCAGAGGUUCAACAAAAGACUACCGUCUUCACUCCAUGGACUGGUACUAUUACCUCGACUAUCGCCACUGAGUUGUCCACAACUACUGGUGCUGACGGUGUUGAAACUGUCAAGACCAUUUACCACGUCGAGACCCCAGAGGUUCAACAAAAGACCACCGUCUUCACUCCAUGGACCGGUACUAUUACCUCGACUAUUGCCACUGAGUUGUCCACAACUACUGGUGCCGAUGGUGUUGAAACUGUCAAGACCAUUUACCACGUCGAGACCCCUGAGGUUCAACAAAAGACCACCGUCUUUACUCCAUGGACUGGUGUCAGUACUGUCACUGUUGCUACCGAUUUGACUACUACCACUGGUGCUGAUGGUGUCGAAACUGUGAAGACCAUUUACCAUGUUGAAACCCCAGAGGUUCAACAAAAGACCACCGUCUUUACUCCAUGGACUGGUGUCAGUACUGUCACUGUUGCAACCGAUUUGACUACUACCACUGGUGCUGACGGUGUUGAAACUGUGAAGACCAUCUACCACGUUGAGACCCCAGAGGUUCAACAAAAGACUACCGUCUUUACUCCAUGGACCGGUACUAUUACCUCGACUAUCGCCACUGAGUUGUCCACAACUACUGGCGCUGAUGGUGUCGAAACUGUGAAGACCAUUUACCACGUCGAGACCCCAGAGGUUCAACAAAAGACUACCGUCUUCACUCCAUGGACUGGUACUAUUACCUCGACUAUCGCCACUGAGUUGUCCACAACUACUGGUGCUGACGGUGUUGAAACUGUCAAGACCAUUUACCACGUCGAGACCCCUGAGGUUCAACAAAAGACUACCGUCUUUACUCCAUGGACUGGUGUCAGUACUGUCACUGUUGCAACCGAUUUGACUACUACCACUGGUGCUGACGGUGUUGAAACUGUGAAGACCAUCUACCACGUUGAGACCCCAGAGGUUCAACAAAAGACUACCGUCUUCACUCCAUGGACUGGUACUAUUACCUCGACUAUCGCCACUGAGUUGUCCACAACUACUGGUGCUGACGGUGUUGAAACUGUCAAGACCAUUUACCACGUCGAGACCCCUGAGGUUCAACAAAAGACUACCGUCUUUACUCCAUGGACUGGUGUCAGUACUGUCACUGUUGCAACCGAUUUGACUACUACCACUGGUGCUGACGGUGUUGAAACUGUGAAGACCAUCUACCACGUUGAGACCCCAGAGGUUCAACAAAAGACUACCGUCUUUACUCCAUGGACCGGUACUAUUACCUCGACUAUCGCCACUGAGUUGUCCACAACUACUGGCGCUGAUGGUGUCGAAACUGUGAAGACCAUUUACCACGUCGAGACUCCAGAGUUGAUGACCGCUAGUACUAAGUUUACUCCAUGGACUGGUACCGACUUUUCAACCUACUCUACAGAUGUCACUACUGCUACAGGAGCUGAUGGAAUUCCAACUAUAAAUACCAUCUACUAUGUCGAAACCCCUGAAGUAAAAACUGCGACAACAGUGUUCACUCCUUGGACCGGUACCGUAUAUUCAAUGUACUCUACAGAUGUUACCACCUUCACUGGCACAGAUGGGUUGCCAACAAUCAAUACCAUUUACUAUGUUGAAACUCCAGAAGUUGAAGUAUCAACUACAGUAGUUACACCAUGGACUGGUACCGUCACUUCGACUGUCUCUACAGAUGUUACCACAAUCACAGGAUCUAAUGGAAUUCCAACUAUAAAGACCAUUUACCAUGUUCAAACACCAGAAAUUGAGACUGCUACUACUGUCUACAGUCCAUGGACUGGCGCCAUUACUUCUACGUACUCAACUGAUAUCUCAACCUUUACAGGUUCAGACGGCAUUCCAACAGUUGAAACAAAGUACUAUGUCGAGUUCCCACAAGUAGAUCCUACCACCACGAUGUUUACUCCAUGGACUGGAACAUUCACCAGCACAUACAGUACUGAAUUCACAACAAUAACUGGAUCUGAUGGAAUUCGUACAUUAGAAAUCAUCUAUCACGUUGAAACCCCUGUCGAAGAGACUGUGGUUACGACCGUUUUAACAUCGUGGACAGGCAGUGUGACAUCAACCUUUUCUACUGCGAUUACAACUGCUACAGGUGUGGAUGGGUUACCCACUGUGAACACCAUCUACUAUGUAGAAACUCCUGUUAUCAGGGCCUCUUCGUUCCACUAUUCCAACUCCUCUAGUGAAAUUUCAUCACAGACUACCCAAGGAGGACGAGAGACUACUAUUACAACUUCAAUGACUAUUCCACAGCCAGAUAUGUCCACAACUUACGGUAGUAGUGAUUUGGUGAGUUCUAUUACUUCCGCAACACCAUCCCAAGUGGUCGUUUCUUCACAAACCACCGAAGGAGAUGACGAAGAAACAAUUACGUACCACCAAUCGAUGACGUCCCAAACAGAUAUGACUACAAGUUCCGAGAUUACAGUGGCUUCAAGUUCAACAACCAUUGCCGAACCUCCACAACAAACACAAACACAAACAUCGGAUUCGUUUACCGUAGUGUCGGGAUCAACAACAUCUAUCGCAAAGUCUACUUCCGAAGAAGGAAGUUCGACUACUGAUAUUGUCCCUUCAGGAAGUGCAUACACCCUAAGCACUGUUACUACAACCAUCUCUGGAACAGUGACGACAUACACAACAACAUGUCCACUAAGUUCGAGCUCUAGUACAGAUUUAGUGACAUCAGAGGGUGUCCCAACUUCAGAGGCUUACACUUUGAGCACGGUUACCACUACUAUCUCUGGUACAGUGAUGACAUACACAACAUCAUGUCCACUAAGUUCGAGCUCUAGUACAGAUGUAGUGACAUCGGAGGGUGUUCCAUCUUCAGAGGCAUACACCCUAAGCACCGUUACUACAACCAUCUCUGGAACAGUGACGACAUACACAACAACAUGUCCACUAAGUUCGAGCUCUAGUACAGAUUUAGUGACAUCAGAGGGUGUCCCAACUUCAGAGGCUUACACUUUGAGCACGGUUACCACUACUAUCUCUGGUACAGUGAUGACAUACACAACAUCAUGUCCACUAAGUUCGAGCUCUAGUACAGAUGUAGUGACAUCGGAGGGUGUUCCAUCUUCAGAGGCAUACACCCUAAGCACCGUUACUACAACCAUCUCUGGAACAGUGACGACAUACACAACAACAUGUCCACUAAGUUCGAGCUCUAGUACAGAUUUAGUGACAUCAGAGGGUGUCCCAACUUCAGAGGCUUACACUUUGAGCACGGUUACCACUACUAUCUCUGGUACAGUGAUGACAUACACAACAUCAUGUCCACUAAGUUCGAGCUCUAGUACAGAUGUAGUGACAUCGGAGGGUGUCCCAACUUCAGAGGCUUACACUUUGAGCACGGUUACCACUACUAUCUCUGGUACAGUGAUGACAUACACAACAUCAUGUCCACUAAGUUCGAGCUCUAGUGCUGUUGUUGUCUCGUCAGAAGAGGGUACUACAUCAGUGCCAACUACAAGUGUUACAUCAUUACAAACCACUGAAACAGCUGGCAACCCAGUUGGUCCAUCAUCUCAAUCCGAAUGGUCUACUGUUUCUUCAAGCAGCAGCAUUAAUACCCCAGAAACUUCCACACCACAGACUCCAGAAGUUUCUAAAACUUCAGUUAGCGAACAGGUUGCAACACAUUCCACCAACUAUCAAUCAAUUAAUACAUCCACAGGCUCAGAGUCAUCCUCAUCGACAACAUCUCCUACAGAAACGCCUCUACCACAAGUAUCCAUUGUGACCAUCAGCAGUCAAUCAUCUGCUGUCUUCCAAACAAUGUAUGAAGGUAAGGCAAGCAAACUAUUUAUUUCGCCUUUUGUCGCUAUUGUUUUAGCUUUCUUAUAA